AUGGUUGGCCGCGUGCUUUACACAUGCAGUCGAACGGGAUCCAUCAGGCUUUGCUUGGUGGUGAGAGUGGCGAACGGGUGAGUAAUGCGUGACCGACCUGCCCCAUACACCGGAAUAGCUCCUGGAAACGGGUGGUAAUGCCGGAUGCUCCGACUCCUCGCAUGGGGUGUCGGGAAAGAUUUCAUCGGUAUGGGAUGGGGUCGCGUCCUAUCAGGUAGUCGGCGGGGUAACGGCCCACCGAGCCUACGACGGGUAGCCGGCCUGAGAGGGCGACCGGCCACAUUGGGACUGAGAUACGGCCCAGACUCCUACGGGAGGCAGCAGUGGGGAAUAUUGCACAAUGGGCGCAAGCCUGAUGCAGCGACGCCGCGUGCGGGAUGACGGCCUUCGGGUUGUAAACCGCUUUUGAUCGGGAGCAAGCCUUCGGGUGAGUGUACCUUUCGAAUAAGCACCGGCUAACUACGUGCCAGCAGCCGCGGUAAUACGUAGGGUGCAAGCGUUAUCCGGAAUUAUUGGGCGUAAAGGGCUCGUAGGCGGUUCGUCGCGUCCGGUGUGAAAGUCCAUCGCUUAACGGUGGAUCUGCGCCGGGUACGGGCGGGCUGGAGUGCGGUAGGGGAGACUGGAAUUCCCGGUGUAACGGUGGAAUGUGUAGAUAUCGGGAAGAACACCAAUGGCGAAGGCAGGUCUCUGGGCCGUUACUGACGCUGAGGAGCGAAAGCGUGGGGAGCGAACAGGAUUAGAUACCCUGGUAGUCCACGCCGUAAACGGUGGAUGCUGGAUGUGGGGCCCGUUCCACGGGUUCCGUGUCGGAGCUAACGCGUUAAGCAUCCCGCCUGGGGAGUACGGCCGCAAGGCUAAAACUCAAAGAAAUUGACGGGGGCCCGCACAAGCGGCGGAGCAUGCGGAUUAAUUCGAUGCAACGCGAAGAACCUUACCUGGGCUUGACAUGUUCCCGACAGCCGUAGAGAUAUGGCCUCCCUUCGGGGCGGGUUCACAGGUGGUGCAUGGUCGUCGUCAGCUCGUGUCGUGAGAUGUUGGGUUAAGUCCCGCAACGAGCGCAACCCUCGCCCUGUGUUGCCAGCACGUCAUGGUGGGAACUCACGGGGGACCGCCGGGGUCAACUCGGAGGAAGGUGGGGAUGACGUCAGAUCAUCAUGCCCCUUACGUCCAGGGCUUCACGCAUGCUACAAUGGCCGGUACAACGGGAUGCGACACGGCGACGUGGAGCGGAUCCCUGAAAACCGGUCUCAGUUCGGAUUGGAGUCUGCAACCCGACUCCAUGAAGGCGGAGUCGCUAGUAAUCGCGGAUCAGCAACGCCGCGGUGAAUGCGUUCCCGGGCCUUGUACACACCGCCCGUCAAGUCAUGAAAGUGGGUAGCACCCGAAGCCGGUGGCCUAACCCUUUGUGGAUGGAGCCGUCUAAGGAGUCUGA
rnacentral:rRNA from 1 species